UUAACGACAAUAAGAAAAAAUGACAAAACCCGGUUAUCGUGACAUAAAGGGAGUGCAAUUAUGUUUGACCACGACGGCCAUAGGUUCCCUUGUGAUCCCUGGUGUGGGCAUCGCUAAACGUACACCCGCAGGGCAGAGAUUGAGAGUUCGGGGGACUGUAACUACCGAGAGGAGUGCUCUUCGAUAACUCCAGAGGCAGGAUAUCCUUACUAGUUCAGCAUAAAUAAUUGAAGGGACAUGCGUUAACUAUUAAACUACUCUAAAUUGAUUUCAGCAAUAUGCAACACAUAAUACUAAAUCGAUCGUGAUUAUCUUGUUUAGAUGGAUUUAAGGGACCUAGCAUGAUAAUUCAAAUGUCCAAGGUAAUAUCUUUAUUAGGCGUGAUAGAACAAUUAGAUUAAUAGUUUAACAGUUUUAUAAAAGGGUGAUGAAAGAGAUUAAAUCAUGCGAAGGGACACAUUACAACGCACCCUUGAGAGGUGCGUUGUGGUUCUCAAAAAACUAACCACUUUGUCUUCGCUAUUUCUCCUUUUAUUUAACGAAUCUCGAGUUUGCAAGCAAGGUUCCAGUAUCCGGGCUUAAUUCUUCAGCUACAAGGGACAGGAUACGUUCGAUUCGACUUUAGGGUCGAUUGCGACAGAACGCGGGAUCAAUUUCGCAGCGUGAGGCUUAGGCUUAGGGGUUGGAGUCAAUACUCAGAUUAUGAAUUGUGCGUUCUUUUCACGUCGAUUAUGAGGCUGUAUUUAUAGGGGAGAGUUUGUGGAAAGAUAGUUUUUUAGAAGACGAAUCCAAGAAGAAUUCGGAGAGAACACGUCCCCAGGUAUUUUCAGCGCCCAGGGCUGGGCGCCGAAGAUUUCGGCGCCCUGAACCAGGCGUUGAAAAUAGGAUCUGGGCCGCGUUUCCUUGUCAGAUUUGGACUCGUAGAAUACGGAGCCUUUGAGACUUAUCCGAGUCUUUUAGUGCGUAUUAACUUUAUGACGAAAUGCGUUUGGGCCCGUUACGAACUCUAGGUUCGUUAGGAUUUUAAUUAAUACGUAACUCUUAUUUUCGAAUUAUUCUAGGAACAGAAUUCCUUUUGUAAAUUCUAUCUCUUUUAGGAUUUAUGUUGGAGUGCAACACCUAAUUCUGACAGGUUUCUAUCUUUUAUGACUUGCCACUUUUAGCAACUACCCUUUACGGCAAUUAUUAUUCUUAGCAGGUUUCUAUAAAUAGCAGGUUUGGCUAAAAUGAAAAGGGUGAUCGAGAUUCGUUAUUUUAUAGGAGAUGCGUUGCCAAGUGGAGAUUUAUGUUCUCAUCAUCGAACCUUCCCUUUCGGGAAUGGGGAAAAAAGAGAUAAAUAUGGUGUUCAGUGACACAGCCAUGAGGCUCCAGUAUUUCAUCAUUUGGGCUGAACUGACUGUAGAUGGUAUUUUCUAUGUUAUCGACACGGGUUACGGUAAAAUGAAGGUCUACAAUCCAAGAAUGGGUAUGGAUGCUCUUCAAGUCUUCUCUGUGAGCCGUGCUGCUGCUGACCAGCGUGCUGGACGUUCUGGUAGAACUGGGCCCGGCACUUGCUACCGUCUAUAUAUAGAGAGUGCAUAUCUGAAUGAGAUUCUUCAUAGUCCUGUUCUUGAAAUUCUGAGGACAGGUCUUGGUAAUGUUGUUUUGCUUCUGAAAUCUCUCAAAAUUGAGAACUUACUAGACUUUGAUUUCAUGGACCCACCUCCACAAGAAAACAUCCUAAAUUCCAUGUACCAGUUGUGGGUACUGGGUGCCCUUAACAAUGUCGGUGGCUUAACAGACCUCGGUUGGAAAAUGGUGGAAUUUCCGUUGGACUCGCCACUAGCAAAGAUGCUACUGAUGGGUGCAAAGCUGCAUUGCCUCGAUGAGGUGUUGACUAUAGUGUCAAUGCUUUCAGUUCCAACAGUAUUCUUCCGUCCCAAAGACAGGGAAGAAGAGAGUGACCUGCUAGGGAAAAGUUAUUUGUCCCUGAAUCGGAUCACUUAACCCUUCUCAAUGUUUACCAACAAUGCAAAAGCAACGAGUAUCGAGGAGACUGGUGCAAUGAUCAUUUUCUACAGGUUAAAGCUUUACGCAAGGCUAGGGAAGUAAGAUCCCAACUUAUGGAAAUACUGAAUCAACUUAAGAUUACACUUCAUCUGCUGAUUGGGAUAUGGUUAGACAAGCUAUAUGUUCUGCAUAUUUCCACAAUUCUGCUAAACAGAAGGGGAUUGGCAACAGAGAGGAGCUAGAGAUGUGCUGAAUGAAACCACAGAAGCUCGUCUCCUCAAGAAGAGACAACUGAACACACACUGGCAGCAUCCUUGAGACCACUGAACACACACUGGCAGCAUGAACUGCAUAGAGAUGAGGCUGGAACAACUGUUAUUAAAACAGUCAAGCUAGAUGCAGCUCUUGGAGGGAAGGCUGUGCAGCAUAGGGAGCUCCAGGGUUUUGAAUCAGACACAUUUUUGUCGUACUUAAAACCAUACAUCUUACCUUUAGAGGGUGGAGUUGAAUCUGGAGUUUUGUUGUACUUUGGUCUGCAAAGUUCUUUUUCGAAUUAUUGAAAAUCAAGUGCGCUUGAGCAAAACGAAUUUCAGGGAAUAUAUUCCGCGGUGCAAGCUGAAGUGCUGCUCCUACUGAUGUGCAGCUGGCUCAUUCAAGAACACCACAGACUUGCACCGAAGUGCUGCUCCUACAGAUGUGCAGCUGGCUCAUUCAAGAACACCACAGACUGAUUUUCUUUGCUUUAUUACUGAACCAGUACGAAGAAGCUAGGGGAAGGGUAUUCUUGUAAUUUUUUUAUUUUUUUCCAUUUCUAUUUUGUAAACGCAUAAAGUAAAUUGUAAAAGAUACAUUAUUUUUUAAUAUACUUAAUACUGGUUUAUGCAAAAAAAAAAAAAAAAA